UCAGAAAAUGAUUUCACAAAAAUAGAGUGUUCAUGUAGUUGCAUUGCAUUUAGGAUCGAGUCUAGAGUGUUUCAUUUAGGAUUGUUGCAUAUGCAUAGGGGAUAAUGAUGAU
rnacentral:sRNA from 1 species